GGCUCCCCUGCAGAUGUGCAUGCAUCUCCCACAUGCACCCUACCCCACGCAUGCAUGCCAGAGACCUGAAAUCCAACUGUCCAGUGGGAGGCACACACCAUAUUCACCGUGAAGGUGAGCUGGGGCGACAGCUCGUGUGCCCACAGAGAGGGCUCCGCGUGCCACCUAUGGCACAUGUGCCAUAGAUUUGCCACCACAGACCUAGGCUUAGCAUCCGAAUUGUGCCUUGCAUUUGGUCAAAUAUUAAGCCAUCUCUAGAGGUGGCGGGAUGGGUCAAUAAAGCAGUUGGCGUGAGCUUAAAUGGACUCCGGGGGAUAGUUGAGGUCAGCAAGGCCUGGAGGAACGUUGUCCAUGGGGUCCCGAUGGGUCGGACACAACGAGUUGUCUAGUGGAACAUGGUCUUUUAUGCUGUUAACUAUUCCCUUUUGGAGGCUCUGAGCAAAACUGUGCUUGUGCAAUUGUAAAAUUAUGAGUGAUCAAACUUGGUUGAAAUACCAUGGAGAUUUUGCUGCGCUGGAGAAAAUUCAUGGUCAUGCCAAGGGUAUUUGGGACUAACAGCUGAUCUUAUCUCUGCCUCCCCCUCCCUCUUUCUGUUUUGUCUUGCAUGGCCGAUGAGUCCUCAACGAACACCCAUUUCUACUGAUUCAGCUGCCAAAUGGAAGGAAUUACACCUCCCGGGUAGAGCAGGAAAAUCCUCAGAUUCAGUUCAGCUGGCACCUUCCAGUCGAAACCCCAAAGGAUUUCUAAUCUUCCCAGAUCAGGGCUGUCGCUUCCUCUGCCCCAAACUAAACCACAGUCUGUUCAUCCAGGGCUAAAGUUGUGGAAGGCUGGCUCGAUCUGCCGUUUGGGGCUCAAAGGAGAAAAGAAUGCUAGCAUUAUCUCGGUUCUGGCAACUUUGUCCUUGGUUUUGUCCCUGGUUACCUCAUAUAUUGCAUUCUCCAAAUAGUUCAAUAUUGGUAGAUCUCCCCGGGCAUUUAAACGAUAGAAGAAGACGACAAGAUUAGAAAAUUCCAUGGGAAAAGGAUAGAAGAGCUGCUGCCAGACCAGGUGGAUUUGGCUCUCUGCUUCCCCUGGCCUGCUCCUCAUCCUUGGCAAAUGCCAUGGCAUCUCGUUCCUUUUGUUCAAGGAUCUCCAAGGCCGUGGGAUUUAGCAUGCGGAGAAGAGAUUCUGGAGAGCUUCGGCUGCAGAUGAAAUGCCUUGACCAGGAAAAAGGGGAGCUGCACGGUUUCUGCCAGUUCUUCCCACUCCCCCACAACACCUCAAUGGUUUCCUUGAUUCUUGACGUCCACUGAGAGAUGGAUUAUUUUCACAGCACGAUUGGAAUACGGCACAGAACUUUUUGAUGAUGGUCAGAUUUCAUUCUGGAAAGCAACAAAGGGCGAAUAAUUAGAAUCUGAGAGCUCUCCCAGUCUUCCUGCACAGCAUUGAGUGUCUUCCUGAGACAUCUAAGAAGAGCAAACUCGCGAGGCUAUCUUUUGGAUAGUAUUCCUAGGAUAUAUUUGGGGGUUUUUUGAAACUGAAAAUGAGAAGAAUUUUGAAUGGAUGGUUGUGUCAGCCUUUUCGAAAAGAUGGUUCAUGAGGAUGGAGAGGACCAGCAACCAUAACAGCUUCGAAGAAAAGAAGACGAAGGAAGAAAGGAUUCCAUUCUGAAGCCAAGGAAAAUGGAAAUUAGCCAGAGAGUGAUUGACAUAAAAAGAGGAAACAAAAUGGAGCACCUGCGAAUUGGGAUGCAAAUAUUUUGGAGGAGAGCAGAAAAUAGGAACACCAGAUUUUGGAGCGGGUACACAAAUGGCCAGAGAAAGUCCCGUUUGAUAAGUGAUGGAAAUGACAUGAUUGAAUCAGAAAGAGUGAUGCGGAGAUGGAACAGUGCUUAGGCAGAAUUUACCAGUGCGAUGAAGAUCAGCAUUUCUGCAGGCCAGAUCCAUACUGAUAAUCUACAUGUUAGGAACCUGGAAGCUGCCGUCAUUAAAGUGGCUGAGAGUGGCUGUUGGAUUCCUGAAUGCAAAGCAGUUCGUGAGAAAAUAGCUGUCACAAUUACAUGCCCUCGUCACCUCAAGACUGGAUUACUGUAAUGCGCUCUACAUGGGGCUGCCCCUGAAGAGUGUUCGAA